GAUGAACGCUGGCGGCGUGCUUAACACAUGCAAGUCGAACGAAGCACUUUAUUUGAUUUCUUUGGAAUGAAGAUUUUGUGACUGAGUGGCGGACGGGUGAGUAACGCGUGGGUAACCUGCCUCAUACAGGGGGAUAACAGUUGGAAACGACUGCUAAUACCGCAUAAGCGCACAGGGUCGCAUGACCUGGUGCGAAAAACUCCGGUGGUAUGAGAUGGACCCGCGUCUGAUUAGCCAGUUGGUGGGGUAACGGCCUACCAAAGCGACGAUCAGUAGCCGACCUGAGAGGGUGACCGGCCACAUUGGGACUGAGACACGGCCCAAACUCCUACGGGAGGCAGCAGUGGGGAAUAUUGCACAAUGGGGGAAACCCUGAUGCAGCGACGCCGCGUGAGCGAAGAAGUAUUUCGGUAUGUAAAGCUCUAUCAGCAGGGAAGAAGAAAUGACG
rnacentral:rRNA from 1 species